UUUAUGCUAAUAAAGUGACUUAGGGUGGGGUCCCUAGAUAGCCUUGGGGUGGCUCUGAUCACCAGAAAGACUAAGUGAUCAAAGGGCUGGAACGUUCAGCCCCACCCACCAACCUCCAGGAAAUGAGGUAAGAGGGGCUAGAGAUUAAGCACUGCAAAAACUCUUCAACAAAAGCAUUUGAUGCGCUUCCAAACUGGUGAACACUUUUACAUGUUGCUCCUGUGCCGGAGACUUUUCCAGACCCUGCCCUAUGUACCUCUUCAUCUGUAUCCUUUAAAAUAAACCAGCAAAUGCAGUGAAGUGUCUUUCUUAGUUCUGUGAGCUGUUUCAGCAAAUGAUUGAACCUGAGGAUGGAGUUGAGGGAACUCCCUAUUUAGUGUGGGUUGAUAGCAGUACUUCAGUCAGAAGUAUGGGGACCAGGACUUGUGACCAGCAUCCGAAGUGGGGAGCAGUAUGUAGGACUGAACCCUUAAACUGAGCCAGAAUUGAAUUGAAUUGUUAAACACCCAGGUGGUGUCAGGUGAAUUGGAGGGUUGGUUGUUGAUUUUGGAAAAAGAGCCUUAAAAAUUUUAAAGUAAGGGAAAGUGGACUAUUAAAAGGAGAAUGGAGUUAUUGGAAAAGGUAUCUGCACAAAUGUCACCUGUUCAGAGAGACCUGGAUUGACCAUUCUUCAUGAGGACAGGGACAUCAU